AUGGUCGUUCGACUCAUCCGGGCGCCAAAGGCAAACCCGAAGGAACCGCGCGCCCUCCGAGGGUCCGCUCGCACUGCCUCCUCCCCGGUGAGGCCCGGACGGCUCCGCGGGGGACGGGACCCGGGUCGGGGUGCAGGGAGCGCGGUGGGGGCGCAGGGACCGUGGUCGGGGCGCAGGGAGCGCGGUGGGGGCGCAGGGACCGUGGUCGGGGCGCAGGGAUCCCGGUCGGGGCGCAGGGAGCGCGGUGGGGGCGCAGGGACCGUGGUCGGGGCGCAGGGAUCCCGGUCGGGGCGCAGGGACCUCGGUCGGGGCGCAGGGACCGUGGUCGGGGCGCAGGGAUCCCGGUCGGGGCGCAGGGACCUCGGUCGGGGCGCAGGGACCGUGGUCGGGGCGCAGGGAUCCCGGUCGGGGCGCAGGGAUCCCGGUCGGGGCGCAGGGACCUCGGUCGGGGCGCAGGGACCGCGGUCGGGGCGCAGGGAGCGCGGUGGGGACGCAGGGAGCGCGGUGGGGGCGCAGGGAGUGCGGUCGGGGCGCGGGGCCGCGGUGGGGGCGCAGGGAUCCCGGUCGGGGCGCAGGGUCCGCGGUCGGGGCGCAGGGAUCCCGGUCGGGGCGCAGGGUCCGCGGUCGGGGCGCAGGGACCUCGGUCGGGGCGCGGGGCCGCGGUCGGGGCGCAGGGACCGCGGUCGGGGCGCAGGGAGCGCGGUGGGGGCGCAGGGAUCCCGGUCGGGGCGCAGGGUCCGCGGUCGGGGCGCAGGGACCUCGGUCGGGGCGCGGGGCCGCGGUCGGGGCGCAGGGACCGCGGUCGGGGCGCAGGGAGCGCGGUGGGGGCGCAGGGAUCCCGGUCGGGGCGCAGGGGCCGCGGUCAGGGCGCAGGGACCUCGGUCGGGGCGCAGGGAGCGCGGUGCGGGCGCAGGGAUCCCGGUCGGGGCGCAGGGGGCGCGGUCGGGGCGCAGGGAGCGUGGUGGGGGCGCAGGGACUCCAGUCGGGGCGCAGGGAGUGCGGUCGGGGCGCGGGGCCGCGGUCGGGGCGCAGGGAGCUCACCGGCAGGCCCCGCCGCAGGUCCGGCUGGGGGAAGACCUCGGGCCGGCGCUCCACGUGGUCGCAUCCUACUGA
rnacentral:lncRNA from 12 species